rnacentral:rRNA from 1 species
UACGUAGGGGGCGAGCGUUGUCCGGAGUUACUGGGCGUAAAGGGCACGCAGGCGGUCCGCCACGUUUGGGGUGACAGCUCUCGGCUUAACCGAGAGAGUGUCUCAAAGACGGUCGGACUUGAGGGCCAGAGAGGGACAUGGAACUCCGGGUGGAGUGGUGAAAUGCGUAGAGAUCCGGAAGAACACCAAAGGCGAAGGCAGUGUCCUGGCUGGUACCUGACGCUCAGGUGCGAAAGCGAGGGGAGCGAACGGG